AAGGCAGCUUACUAAGCUACAACUGACACUGAAGCACGAANGCGUGGUGGAUCAAACAGGAUUAGAUACCCUGGUNGUCCACGCAGUAAACGAUGAUUACUAGCUGUUUGCGAUACACANUNAGCGGCACAGCCGAAAGCGUUAAGUAAUCCACCUGGGGAGUUACGCCGGCAACGGUGAAACUCAAAGGAAUUGACGGGGGCCCGCACAAGCGGAGGAACAUGUUGGUUUAAUUCGAUGAUACGCGAGGAAACCUUACCCGGGUUUGAACGUNNGGAGACAGGGGUGGAAACAAUCCUUUUUUCAAGCAAUUGACUUGCCUACGAAGGUGCUGCUAUNGUUGUCNUCAGGCCUCGUGCCGCNAGGUGUCGGCUUAAGGUGCCCAUAACUGAGGCGCAACCCUUAAUUUUCAGUUACUAAACAGGUGGAUGCUGAUGNACUCUGUAAGAGACUUGCCANUGCNGUUAAGGCUUGUGAGGAAUGUGGGUGACNAUCGUCAA
rnacentral:rRNA from 1 species